rnacentral:rRNA from 1 species
AGUCAUAUGCUUGUCUCAAAGAUUAAGCCAUGCAUGUCUCAGUACAGGCCGACCUAAGGCGAAACCGCGAAUGGCUCAUUAAAUCAGUCAUGAUUCAUUGGAUGUAGUAAAAAUCCAAUUUUUACUCGGAUAACUGUGGUAAUUCUAGAGCUAAUACAGGCGAUCGAGCUCCGACCCCGGCCGGCGUGUCCAGCGCCCGUUGGCCGACCUCCCAACCCGUCGCCCUUCGCGGGCGCGGGCGGACGGACCCGGCGGCGGGUUUAGCGGCGUCGGUGCCAUUGGGGGAAGGGCGCUUUUAUUAGAUCAAAGACUGACUUCCGGGCUUCGGUCCGGACGCUUAAAAAAAGGUCGAUGAUGACUCUGAAUAACCUAGCCGAGCGCUGCGGUCCUAGUACCGGCGCCGUAUCCUUCGAGUGUCUGCCUUAUCAGCUUUCGAUUGUAGGUUAAACGCCUACAAUGGCUGUAACGGGUAACGGGGAAUCAGGGUUCGAUUCCGGAGAGGGAGCCUGAGAAACGGCUACCACAUCUAAGGAAGGCAGCAGGCACGCAAAUUACCCACUCCCGGCACGGGGAGGUAGUGACGAAAAAUAACGAUGCGGGACUCUUCCGAGGCCUCGCAAUCGGAAUGAGUUCACUUUAAAUCCUUGCAACGAGGAUCCAUUGGAGGGCAAGUCUGGUGC